UUGUGUUAGUAUUAAACAAGUCAGGCAUAAGCAAGUCAGUCAUAAACAGAAAAAUAAACAUGUAUUAAUAAGGUGCUUUGAUUAACACAGUUGGCUAUAAAGACAAUGACCAUGUUUUUAAAUAUCGUUCUCUGCCCUACAGUCAUUUUUUAGUUGAAAAGCCACCUUAGGUAGGGGACUACAUGCAGUAUCCAUGAGUAUGAGUACUUCCGCACACCGGAAGGCGCGUGCAUGCUGUG